AUUUAUAAGAUCUUUGAUACAUGCAAAAUAUUGGAAAACAAUGUCCGAACAUAUAAUGUUCGCCCCAAAAUAUAGCAAAGACCACAAAAAUGCCAUAAAAAGUACAUUAAGGUCAAAAUUUGGAGUAGGAAAAAAACCAAUAAGAGAAUUCCAUUUUCCUUCCCUCAUUCAUCGGAGAUCUCUCUUUGGGCAUUCCAAAAAGGUAUCACAUGCCAAGUUUGGCCUCACGGUCUAAAAGUUAUAGAGUAAUACAUUUUUAACAAAAAAAAAAAGAGAAAAACCGAAAAAAAGAGGGAUGCAACACGAAGACUUUUCUGGAGGUCACCCAUCCUAGUACUACUCUCCCCCAAGCACGCUUAACUGUGGUGUUCUGAUAGGAUCAAGUGCAUUAGUGCUGGUAUGAUCGCAUCAGUUACUACAUGUAAUGCAAUCAUAUAUAUUCUUUUUUGAAGACUUUAUGAUCCAUGUGCCGUAGGUCCCACCAGCUAUGUAGGAAUACCCUAUCUCAUUUAUAAGAGCUUUGAUACAUGCAAAAUAUUCGAAAACAAUGUCCGAACAUAUAAUGUUUGCCCCAAAAUAUAGCAAAGACCACGAAAAUGCCAUAAAAAGUACAUUAAGGUCAAAAUUUGGAGUAGGAAAAAAAAUCAAUAGGAGAAUUCCAUUUUCCUUCCUCAUUCAUCGGAGAGCUCUCUUUGGGCAUUCCAAAAAGGUAUCACAUGGCAAGUUUGGCCUCACGGUCUAAAAGUUAUAGAGUAAUACAUUUUUAACAAAAAAAAAAGAGAAAAACCGAAAAAAAGAGGGAUGCAACACGAAGACUUUUCUGGAGGUCACCCAUCCUAGUACUACUCUCCCCCAAGCACGCUUAACUGUGGUGUUCUGAUAGGAUCAAGUGCAUUAGUGCUGGUAUGAUCGCAUCAGUUACUACAUGCAAUGCAAUCAUAUAUAUUCUUUUUUGAAGACGUUAUGAUCCAUUUGCCGUAGGUCCCACCAGCUAUGUAGGAACACCCUAUCUUGUUUAUAAGAGCUUUGAUACAUGCAAAAUAUUCGAAAACAAUGUCCGAACAUAUAAUUUUUGUCCCGUAAUAUAGCAAAGAUCACGAAAAGGCCAGAAAAAAUACAUUUCGGUCAAAAUUUGGAGUAGAAAAAAAACCCUUCCUCAUUCAUUGGACAGCUCUCUUUGGGCUUUCCGAAAAGGUAUCACAUGCCAAGUUUGGCCUCACGGUCUAAAAGUUAUAGAGUCAUACAUUUUUCACAAAAAAAGCAAGAGAAAAACA
rnacentral:sRNA from 1 species